AAUAGAUACCCGGUAGUCCACGCCGUAAACGAUGAGUGCUAAGUGUUGGGGGUUUCCGCCCCUCAGUGCUGCAACUAACGCAUUAAGCACUCCGCCUGGGGAGUACGGUCGCAAGACUGAAACUCAAAGGAAUUGACGGGGGCCCGCACAAGCGGUGGAGCAUGUGGUUUAAUUCGAAGCAACGCGAAGAACCUUACCAGGUCUUGACAUCCCGGUGACCACUAUGGAGACAUAGUUUCCCCUUCGGGGGCAACGGUGACAGGUGGUGCAUGGUUGUCGUCAGCUCGUGUCGUGAGAUGUUAGGUUAAGUCCCGCAACGAGCGCAACCCUUAUUCUUAGUUGCCAUCAUUCAGUUGGGCACUCUAAGGAGACUGCCGGUGAUAAACCGGAGGAAGAUGGGGAUGACGUCAAAUCAUCAUGCCCCUUAUGACCUGGGCUACACACGUGCUACAAUGGACGGUACAAACGGUUGCCAACCCGCGAGGGGAGCUAAUCCGAUAAAACCGUUCUCAGUUCGGAUUGUAGGCUGCAACUCGCCUACA
rnacentral:rRNA from 1 species